UCCGCACUGGUGUAACGGCUAGCAUAACGCGCUUUCAUUUCACAAACUGAUCCGCGUAGACCGGGGUUCGACUCCCCGGUGCGGAA